AAUCUAAACUGCUGCAGCCUGCUCUGUGCUGCCAUUUCUAACAGGCCAUCAUUUGUGUCUUUUAAACCUUAGAUCUGUGCAGGUUUGCUUGAUAACAGUAUAAGAUAUUUGUUGGCUUGUUUAUGGAAAGUAAAGUGGAAUUAUAUGUAGAAGUCGGUAGCCUUUUUGUUUGGUUUGCUUGUUUCUAGGUCAGUGUGGUGCUCAGGGAAGGUUUGAGAUUUUCUUUUGUGUUAGGUAAGUGUAUUUGUUGUUUUGGCUUUUUUGAUCAUCUCUGAAGCUUAUUAAAACAGCUGCUUCAAAGGUAAUUCAACUUGUACUGCUGGAAAGAUUGAGGGUCACAUCAUUACACAGCGCUGUGUGUACUGGAAGCUGUUUGGUGAGUAAUGUGGACUGCAGUCCUGUGUGAACAAUAAGCAGUUUUAUUGGUUUGUGGGCACGAGUUUACACUGUACACACCUGCUCCACUAAGUCACUUGGUGCCUCUUUGCUCUCAAGUAAGCACCGAAGUUUCUCCCCUUCCUCCUUCACGUCUGUUGAGUCAUGAAGGUGUCCUCUUGUGUAGGAAGUAACUACAUGCCAUGAGAAACACUUGUUACUUAUUUCGGCUGUAUUUUUGUCUCUUUAAAGCCUGCAGACCCAAACAGUUAAUCUGAACGCUAUAGGUAGAGCAUUUCAACAUUGGCUAACAGAUUUUGUCUGUGUCUUAAGAAAAACUGUAGCCUAGCUUGUGUGCCAGUCUUCUCAGCAGUUUCUUAUCAAAUGAGCAGAGCUGGGGCCUCAUGUAUCAACACUUGCGUGGAACUCAUACCAGAAACGAGCGCACGCAAGGUCCGUCACGCUGAAAAAAAUCCGUAUGUAUCAAUGUGUGCGGGCGCCGAAAUCCACGUGUGUUUUUUUGAUAAAUCCCAAUCAGCGUGGAAUUGAGCGCAGAUGUCGGAGCGGGGAUCAACGAGCGGCUGGACCGGCUCGUAAAUGUCCUCGAGCGUCUGGUGGAGAAAAUAAAUUAAUUUGGCUCAUUGAACUGUGUAUUCACUUCUUACCCAUUCACACUGUGGCGAUGAGAUUCUCCCGCGCGAGGACGGCGGCCCGGCAGGGAUCAGCUCGCAUCCCUCCGUCUGCUGCUGGUUCCUCAUGUGGGGCGACGUGCUGCUCGGCCACGGGGAUGUGGUGCACGCUUGUCACAUAGUGAGUCACCAAACACCGCCACACAGCGUCGCCAAAGUGCGAAUCACAGUCAACGCAAGUGUCUGCUCAACGCCAAUUUCUACACCACCUCCUGACUUUGCGUUGAUUAGCGCUGGAACCGACGCUCGUUUCGCGAUGAUAAAUCUGGACGUGUGCGCCGAUUUUGGCGCACGCAAGGUUUUCUUGCGCCGCAAGCGUUGAUACAUGAGGCCCCUGAUCUGGCAGCUUGUACACUUCAUAGCAACUUGUAACUCAUAUAACCUCAUUUGAAGACUUCAGACUAGACUCGGAAAAGUAGAGAGGAGGAUCGUGGAACAUGUAUGUGCAGUAGCGGAUUGCAACGUUUGUAAGAAAGCUAAUUAUGAUAUUAGCUUUCAUAUUCCCUCUAAAAUAGGGUGACUAUAUUCUGACUUUCCAAAAAGAGGACACAACUACACGGGGGCAGAGUCACGGAGUCGCACAAAGUUAAUUUUAGGAGUUUUUCGGGUCAGGUUGCGUGUCUUUUAUGCGCUUUUAACUCAGUAAGUCUACAUGACACAAAAUCGAAACUUGUGUAAAAAAACGGACAUUUGAAGGCUUUUAUAAACUCCCCUGGACAAACCCGGACAGCCCCUGAAAAAGAGGACAUGUCUGGGUAAAAGAGGCUGUAUGGUCAACCCACCUAAAAACAUUAGUGUCCAAGAGCUGAGUAACUCCUGUUACCUGCUGCUUCUGCUGCACCUUAGGCUAGGCUACUAGCUAGCAUGAAGAGGAGCAUGAGGAGGAGUGUGCAGAGCAGCAAUGUCUUUACCCACAACUCAGAGGCAAAUUGCUAAUGAGCUACUGGAGCUCAGUCUUCUCAGCAGUUUCUUAAAACUGACACAGGUAACGUGAUUUUGGCCAAAAACCUCAUGAAAACGUCCUGCUGUUUGGGUCUGAUCACAGUGAUUUGAAUGCAGAAAUACUCAAAUGCAACUUUGCACUUACUAGUUUUCUCAUGAUAUGUCCUCCAGCAUCAGAAAAUUCCAUAUGAACAUGUAGACAACAAGAAAAACAUGAUUUUCAUCGGUGUGGGUCUUUAAAGAUUACUAGAAUAUUCCCUUAACUUUGCUCCAAUGAGUCAAUUGGUUAGAUGGGGAUUGUCUUACUGAUCUGAAUCUUCUUUGUUAUCAAUGAAAAUGUUUAUGGAUUCACUUUGACUUAUCCUAUUAUUUGUCACCUAUCAUGAUCAGCUCUGCAGUUCAUCUGUUUCAUAAAAAUAUCAGAGGUUUAUAAGAGGCUUCUUUUGACUCUGCUGAGUUGUGUCGUCCAGCAGCUGACGCAGUUAUUGAGAAAAGAACUAGCAAGAAAAAGAUUGAUUCCCUCAUACAAUAAACUUCAAAAUAUCGACUGCAUCCAAAGAUGACGUGGUUAUCUGAUUCUGAGGGUCCAUGAAUUUAUCAACUACAGUUCAUCAAACACAACACCAGGGAAGCGCUCGCUUCUCCACCAAUUUGUCCUCUAGGGAUUGUUGUUCAUAUGGAGUGCAUCCUGAUGUGUAUAUUACCAUCUCUUCCAUACAGCGCCCACUCACCGCAGCUAUCGAUUUGAAGCGAUGAUUUACUGCUUGGAAAAAUCAUUGUGUGAAAAUCCCUGCAUCAGUAUGCACAAUACGAUACAAUUUGUACUCAACUGGAUGUUGGUCACACUGAGUGGGAGUUACAUCUUUUAUAUCACAGCCUACUGUACAUAUACACAUGGAAACGUCUCAUUUCUUUUAUUUAGUUUAAUGAAGGACUUUAAAGUCUUUUUUCACAAUGUUUGAUUAAGUUUUUAGUGGUAUGACAAUUUUAUUUGCUUCCUUGUUUCCCAGCUCACGAACCUCUAAAAAAAGAGGGCGAUCAUAUUUUGAAUACUGGAAACCAAGACAAAAACCAUGACUCAGCCCAGCUUUGAGGUACUCUAUAGUUUUAGUUUUCUUCUUCAUCCUAUUGGCCCAAAGAAAAACAAUGAAAAUUAGGACAUUUUCAUAACUUUGUAAAAAAAAACAACCCCACUAUGAAACGGGGAGAAAUCUGGUAUAGGAACUUGGUUGGUCUAAAAGAGGUCUAAUAGACAACCAAAUGUAGCCUAGAUGACUGGUCUAAAAUCAGGCUACCACAGGUCUAAAAAUGUAAGUUUUUUGGACGUCUAAAUUUGGACCAAGUUUAGACUAACCAGCUGACAUAGGACUAACAGCCUACUGAGCAUUUUUUGCUCAAUGGCUAUCAUAAUUGUUUUGGUGAAGUACUUGGAGAUCAGUCAUGCAACUCACAGUUGCUUUUUUGAAAUAAAUAUUUAUCUAAUAAUGGGUUAAAGUGCAACGUCUAUAUUCCGUCUGAAAAUCUAGACAGUUGAAAUUAGGUCUAAAAAAAAUAACCAGACGUCUACUAGCCGUCUUUUGCUCAGUGGGUAGGUUAAUAAUGAAUUCAACUUUGUCCACACUGAGAUGUCUGCAGUUUUCAUUUGAUCAAUGCAAAUUUCCCUACUCUCUUUAGUGCCGUUGUGUGCGAAUAGUUAAUUAUGCCUCUGUUUCCGCUAGGUGGGGCACAGUCCAUAUGGCGAACGGUUGCGUGUGUGUAGCGCACACUCAAGUUUCAGCAGUGGGGCCUGAAGUUCAGGUUCCCCAGAGUGCUUCUCAUUGGCUGACCAGAAGAAAGAGUGGGAACUUGCACCGGUCUCGCUAACUCGGCGACCAACAUAAGGCAACAUGGCGAUGUGAACUCAUCCAUGGACUGUUGGAUUUUAACAGCAAGGUCACAGAGAAGAUUGUGCACAUGGAGGACUGCAGAGCGUCAUUCCUCUUCAAAAAAUGAUCAACAUCGGUGAGUCCAUUAUUCUAUGUGGAAUUUACGUGUUUGAAUGAAAGUGGAAUUUAUGCUAAUUUUCUGUUUGUAUUACUGUAAUGUUGUUUCAAUCUUGAGUAUUUGAUAUUGUGAGGCCUUGAACGCUGCCAUUUGAUGGCGCUAUUGGUAUGAUAAUAUUUGUCGCCAGAUUGACAUUGUUUGUGUGAUGGUAUAAUUCAGCAGCAGUUUUGUCGUCAAAGGUGUUGUCGUCGUUUUUGUCGUCGUUUUUGUAGUGAGGGUAUGAGAGUAAUAUCUGGUGCUUCUGGACUGUAUUAUGAGAUUUUCCUGCAUGGCCCCACUAGAAUUUCCAGACUAAAAUCACCACCGCUGUAUAGAAAGCCUCAAUUAAUUCCUCGCCAAGCUCGUUUAAUCAAGACACUAUAUAAUGACACUACAAGGGCUUGAUUAAUGUUGAACCAGAGCAAUAUUCACUUCCAUAAAAGCUUCUUUACGUGUUGCUCAGUAUACCAGUCGGGUAACUGAUUAUUGUUAUUAUACUAAAUGUUCAUAGCAGCAGGAGAGCAUUGUUCCACACUUGGACCUCAUCAGUUCUCGCAGAUUUAAUUUACCUGCAACAUUAUAUGAAGUGAUGGGUAAUAUCUCAAACUCCCCUGACCAGAGCCUGUGGGUAGAAGCUUGAGUACAAUGAAUUAAUAUUUUAAUCCAAUUUUUUCUUUAUAAUUCACAGUAGAGGUUUAGAGUGUGUACAGUUUUGGCUCUGCCUCAUACAUCUAAAUGAAUUCAAAAACUUGCCUUGCCUUUGUAUCCACUUUUGAUACUCUUAUUAUUAUUUUGAAUCACUAUCACAGAAAAUAUGACAAAAAGCAAGAGUAUGUUCCUCAAUUUACCAAUUAUUUUUAAUCUAUCAUAAUGUUUAUCAGCUUACACAAGUCACUUCACACUGUUGCACUCAUACCUGUCCUUCCUGAUACACCAGCCAGGGCCGAAGUAUAUAACAAGAGGAGGAAAUAUAAGCAACUUAGUAUUUGGAAAAUACAAAGAUAUAUAGUAUUUCAAGUGUGGUGAGUGAAUGAUUGUGAAUUAAUUAUAUAAACUCAACUCCUAUUAUUACCUUUAUAAUUCCCUCUGUCUCUUUGACUAGCAUUGUCAGUGGUCUUUACAAUCUUAUUCACGACUUAAUCUUUCUUAUCCUUCAUUGUUAGCUGUACUAUAUACUUAUGUUAUCUCUUUUUAUUACUUACCUAGUUUGUAUAUUUUCCUAUAAACAAAUUGGGUAAAUGUAUUUAUGAUACUGAAGGUUUACUUGAAAUAUGACAAAAAAUGCACAUGCAAAGAUGAUAUCGUGAUUUUGUAUUGACUUGUGAUUUUUAAAUCAGUUUUUUCAACAGUCAAGCAGCUUCAGGUUAUAACAUCACCCUCUAGUGGUUGGAGGUUUAAACGUAACACAAAAUGAGCUCCAAAUGAUUGCAUCAAAAUUUAUGUAAAAAAGAAACGACUUUUUUUGAGAAUUUUUACACUCUCAUAAUACAGUAGACCAGGAUAUUCAUGUGCACAGAUCCUUUCUUGUCUAAUAUGAAUGUAAGAAAGUGCAGUGUAAGCUGUUUUGGGCACUUGGGUUGAACUCCUCUAACAUACUCUAUGUUUAAUCUUAGUACUCUGUAUAUUUACACAGCUUGGGAACCACUGAACAGAACCUGUGGAAACAUCCGAGAUGAUAACUAAACUAGGACUGAAACGAUUCCUCAAAUACCUUGAUUACAAAUAAUGAUUGAGGAAAUUUCUCUGCCUCGAGUACUCGUCCAUAAGCUCAAAUUGUCACUGUUUCGCACAGAUUCUUUUGAAGGUGACACAAUGCGCUUACGUCACCAUGGCAGAAGGAGGUGUAAGCGCUGUUUAGGUUUUGCGGAGCAGAAAAAAUAAAUGAUGAGAGGGGCUUUUCUUUCAGUGUUGCCAACCUAGUGACUUUCCUUACUGAGGAGUUGGCAACACUGUUUUCUUCUGCAGAGCUCCAGUAGCACGUUAGCACUUAGCCUCUGAGUCGUUAGCAGAGACAGUGCUGCUCUGCACACUUCUCUUCACGCUAGCUUGUAGCCUAACAUUGCAGGUGUCAUAGCAGAAGCAGGUAACAUAGGAGGUAUUCAGCUCUUAGACACUAAUGUCUUUAGGGACAUGAUGAAAGCUAAUAUGUAAUUGAAAGCUAAUACAUAAUUAGCUUUUUUAUGAGCAUUGCAAUCCACUAACGUACACGCUUGUUCCGCGAUUGUCCUCUAUUUCUCAGAGUCUGACCUUCAUUGCGGGGCUAUAGGAAAUCUUUCUUUAUGUGGGUCUGCUGAUUGGGUCCAAUUACUCAAGUAAUCGAUUGAAUAUUCGGUAGAAUACUCGAUUACUAAAAUAUUCGAUAACUGCAGCUCUAAACUAAACAUCUUUGAGAUAUAAAGGUCUCUGCUGAAAAACAGAUUUGUAUAUUAGUCACUGGUUCUUGUUGCUGCUUCUUUGUUAUUCUGCUCACAGUUACACUCCAAAAUACUCCACAUUAGAAGCUCAAAAUGACUUUGAGAAGCCAAUCAGUAAAAAGGUCCUUUGCUUUUGUUGAAAAUAAAAUUGCAGGAAGAAAAAUACUCAAACCUCUCAAGUUUGAAUGAUUUUAUGUAUGCAGCCCGCAUGAAACCAUAUCUUUCAUAUGUAUUGCAUCUCCAUUGUGUGGGGUUUCCAUUCGCUUGAGCUUUUAUCUAGAAUUGGAUGUUUGCCAGUGAAUCCUGAAUCAGACUGAAUCAUAGCCCUUUGCACUGGUGAAAAAUGACUGUGUAAUGAAAGCAAUGGGAGCCGCAGAGAGAUCGAGAAAAACCAACGGGGGUCAGAAAUAAAGUAGUGAAGAGUGGGCUGAAGCACUGAAAGCCUGAGUGUUUGUACAGACCCUCUCUCUAUAAGUGCCGUUCCGCCUCCAAACAAGUGAAUCCCCAGCAAGAACCUAUCAGCUCUGUUUGUUGUCAUGCAGCUGAAUUUAAAUAUACAGUAAAAGGGGUGCAAAACGUACAAACAACUCAUCUCUUGUGUUUAAUUUCAACCGAGUUUCUCACUAGGAAGCCUCCAAUGUUAUGCCUCUUUUUUUUUUGAUUACCUUUCUUUUCAGAAGUCUUUACCCAAGAGCCUUUGUGUGAGUUAACAGUCUGCAGUUUAGCACAGAUGAUGGGUCUCCCCUGUCUUCCCUUUUAAAGUGGCAGAGAAGCAGUGGGAAGGAGCCGAGCUCUGCUCCAACAGGCGUGAUGCUAACUGAGGUGUAAUUAGAGGAAUGUGACUGCAUGCCUCACAAGCUAGACUAAUUAGCAAAGCUUUCCUGUUCUCAUUCCAGCAGGACCCCACAUGAAGCAAACAAAAAUAUGCUAAACUUGCUGAAGGGUAAACUGAUGUAAAUGUUGUACAUUCGCAGUCUGUCUGUGUCGUCCUCUGGAGAGAAAAGAACCAACAACACUGAUUAGAUACCAUUUUAGCAUUAAAAUAACAUCAUGACACACAACUUAUGCAAAGUAAUGAAUUUAUAUAACAAGAAUUCAGAAUGGUGUUGUGGCAUCACUGCCACACUGUAUAAUUAAAAGUUUUCAAAGCUUCAAGUCAAAAGUUUGAAAGUUUGACAAACUUCCUGAACUUAUAGACAAGCUCUACACUGUUAGCAUCUGACUGAACACACUUGGUAGGGAUGUACAAUAUUAUCAGUACUGCACCAAUAUUUGGCGUUAAUAGCAUAAAAACCAUAGACUGUGUAUACUAUGGACAUCUUGGUUCCGCCUUCCGCCAGUAUAUUGAUUUGAAGCCGUAAAGCUCUCAGUAAUUUUGCGUUUUUUUCUCCACUUCCUGAAACCAACAUUGGGCGGUAACGUUGUACGCACACCAUCACUUGCGCACUAGCGUUGCGCACAUUCGGCGGGAGAGUCGCUGAGAGUUGCUAACCCUAACCCAAACCCAACCCUAACCCAUAGGCUGUAUCAAGUGUCAGUCAUAGAAAACAUGAACCCCCAAAUAACUUUAAAAAAUGAAGCUGUACAGAAAAAAGAGGACUUGAGCACAAACCAGUCGUGCAAUAACUAUAUGUCAACAUCGCAAGCAGGGGGCGAAAAAAAAAUUAUGUUCUGCAGCCCGUCACCAGAGGGUGCUGUUCCCAGAGUUACUUCACCCAGUGAGGAGGCAGCACAGUCCAUUCUAUAUCCAGUCUAUGAUAAAAACUUAAUGAC